GGCUGAAACUCGCCUAUAUGAAGUCGGAAUUGCUAGUAAUCGCAGAUCAGCAUGCUGCGGUGAACACGUUCCCGGGCCUUGUACACACCGCCCGUCACACCAUGAGAGUCGAUAACACCCGAAGCCUGUAGUCUAACCAUAAGGGGGACGCAGUCGAAGGUGGGAUUGAUAAUUAGGGUGAAGUCGUAACAAGGUACC
rnacentral:rRNA from 1 species